CACAGCUGUGCAAACCCUUUAUUAAAGCAUCAAUCAAAAUACAGGAUGGAUCACAUGGUUUUCUGUUUUUGCUACUGUAAUACCAACUUAUAUGAGUCAUUUGUUUACAACUUUAUUUUUAAAAGUGAACAUUUUACAGUUCACAAAAUCACCAGAUUGACAUUUCUGUCGAGACAUUUUUCCAUUUUCCAAUUUUAACAAAGGACAUCCAGAACUACUGAAAUACAACAAACGAAAUCUAAGUGCAAGCAUCUUCCUUGAUUCUCAUUGUUAGCAGCUCUAUGGUGUCUGAGAUAUACAUUUGGAGGCUAUUUUAUUGGCUAAAUAAAAAUAAUUUAUGCCAGAAUAUUCUUAGAACUAUUUACUUCCUAUUUUUACAUUCUCUAGCUUCAAUUUUGAUUGUAGUAUUCUUAGUAUCAGCCUCUUUAUAAAUUCUAUCUCUAAAAAAUCUGUUAAAGAUCAUUAUCAUCCUCAUAUGAUAUCUUCGUGAAUAAAAGAUAAAUGCUCAGUCCUUUGGAAAAUAUAAUAAGCAAUUGUUUUAUUUGAUUUUUCCCCCACAAUUGAUUUGUGUAACCCAAACCUGGUUGAUCAAUGAAGAAACCCUAAAAAUGUCAUUAGGAAAAUAAACUGUGCUAUUUACUGAAGGAUUUUUUUAAAUGACCAGUAUCUUGAUGCUCAAAAUAUGUGAAAAUACAAUGAGAUUUGGUAGAUAUUUUAAGAGUAUGAAUAACUUGGUUUAAAAACCAAGGAUAGAAACAUUUAUAGAAUUACUCAAUGCCAAAAGGAUACGUGAAGAGCGGUAAAGGAAAGUAUCUGAACAAUGCUGAGAAAACAGAGUAUCUGAAAUGUAAGGUAAAUGCUCUGUUUUGGUACCAAAUGAAACACUGAAAGGAAAUCCCCAGUUAAAAGAACCACAGUGACUGCCACUGAAGAGUUUUAGCACUGAUCAACACUGUAUUUCCUAGGGCAGAAUAAAAGGUAUCUGGUUUGCCUUUCUAAACCAUUUCUUCCAGCAGCUGGAAUUGGUGUUUCUACAGUCAAGUUAAUUUGUGUUGGCUGCACGGGGCUUAGAGCAUGCUGUUCCAAACAUGCAAAUGUCCUUUGUACCUGAUUUUCUUCAUGUGCUAAAGAGCUGAGCAGAUCCUAGAUCACCAAUAAAUAAAGAUCCAAGCAUUAGACUUGAAACAUCUUAUCAGUCCAUUAAAAUAAUUUACAUAGCCAUAGGUAAAUUCAUCCAGUCUUUCCAUCACAUUGCUUUCUUGUUAUCUCACAUUUGCCCUUCAAAACAAAGUUUCGACAACAUGGACUGGUGCAAUUAAAAAUGAAACAAACAAUAAAAACAGAUAAAGGAGGAAAGGGGAAUUCCAGAACCCCACUGUGUGAGAUGUCAGGUCUUUCAACCUUAGUUGUGAAAAAGGAAUGCUCAUAAGCAUCCAAGACAAAUCAUUCUGGACAUAAUGACACAGCACAAUAAUGCGUGGGAUGGAUGAGACAUUCAGGGAUUUUUAGAGCGAUUUCUAGAAGCUAUAUAUCACAUGUAUCAUGUUUGGUUCCUAGAGAUUUUAGUCAAGUAUUAGUAUUUCUUUUUGCUAAGUAUGGUAUACAAAAAGAUGAGGAUAGAUGUGCCCUAGAGAUAUGAAAAUAUAAUAUAUAAAACAAAACCAUUAUAAAUUACAUAGAUUUUUCCAUAUAAAAUUGUUUUCCCCAUUUAGAAUAAAUACCAUCCAAGUUUACAGAUCAUCUAAGUGAAUUAAAUGUACACACAUAUGUGAAUCAUUUUCAGAAUUUCAAGAAAAACAUUGCUAGAGAUAUGACCAGGAUGACUCAGAAGCCAGAAAUUGAUUUUACAAACGACUACAUACGACCCAAAGGACGAGGCUUUGGAUUUAGUGUGAAGGUUUUAAAACUGCCCAAAUGAGUCCAAUGUGCACGAGUGUGUAUGCACACACGUUCAGUCACACUCGCAUGAAUUUCUAUGAAGCUGAACAGUUCACUUUAUCUUUGAAAAAUCAGCUGAAAGUCAUGAGGUCUUCUGCAUUUCAUAUUCUAGCAGGAGGGCCUCUCUCAUUUCAUAAAGAAGCUGUAGGAUGGAUAGGAAGAGUGUAGCAUUUUUGGAAGGAGAAAUUCCCAUUUUAAGUCAACCUCCCUUUAUGUCAGCUAUUAUCAAAACCGAGAGCAUUAUGAUGCCUUAAAGAGGGAGAAAGUGUUGAAAAUCUACAUAAGCUCUCCCCACUGCAGUCUAAAGCAGCAAAACCAAUCAGGAAACAUUCUUUGGCCGCAUAUUUCUGCUCUUGCUCCACUGAAAAUCUGCCCACUUUUAGCUUAUUAUCACUAUUCAAUGUCUAGGUGGAAUGGAUGCCUUCUCCUUUCCAUGUGGAAACCUAUACACGGGUUUGGGUGGAAUGACAACUGAAUAGGAUGGGGUAACAUCCAUACAGUAUCACAAAAUGAACUUAAGUCCUCUGUUGUUGCUUUGGGCAUAUAAACCCAUGGUAAUGAAUCUGUGGACCUCCAUGACAACUGGAAAAUUUUUAUAUUCUAAGAGGUGGUGUUAAAACUUUUCUGCAACCCAAAAACAUACAAUGCUAGUCCAGAAAGCCCAACAGGAGUCAUAAUUUCUCCUGAUUUCUCACUGCUCAUUUCUUUAUGUGACUGCCCAAAGCACUUCUAACCAGAAGUCAACAGUUCAGUCCUUUUCAAGAGAUGUCUGAUCAAACUCCAUGACUAGUUCUAUCACCUUCCACAACAGUUAUCUAUAAACAAACUAAUCAAGGCUAGGUUUAAAACCAAGCCCACUGCUCUCAAUUACAGAGCCAGAUAAUGUUUGUUGUAAAGUUUGGAUGGCAAAAGUAUCCAAUUUCAUGGACCCAUUUUUUGCUUGUCUCAUGCAAUGGGGGUUGGUUAUCCUGGAAGACUGCAAACUUUCUGUGAACUAUAAAUGUUUCAACUAGAAGGGAUCCUGUAGACCCUCAAGUACUACCUGCAUAUUUUACAGAUGAAAAAGAUUAAACCCCAGAGAGAGGAAGGGAGUUGUCCAAGGUCACCUCCUCAGAUGGUGACAGAGUGAGGACUAAACAUCUGGGUCUGCUCUCAUCACCAAUGUGAUCCAUGCAAUCUUGGACAUCAUAACCCCAUUACCUGAUGUGGCCACGGCCCCUAUGAAUUUAUUAAGAUUACUGUCUCCUUUGCUUAUAAGGGAAAAUUAAAUAAAACCACUCAUUCUCACCAAUAUUAAAUCUUAAUUGCAGAUGUGGUCCUAAUGGUGUUUUUGGAAGGAGAAGAUCCACAAUUUGUUUAAAAUGCUAUUUCUCAAAACCAACAUUCUUAUUUAAGUAAUGAAGCAUGAAAAUGUUAGGUGGACCAAGAGAUGAAAGCAAAAAUCUUUAAAGUCAUUGUGAAAAGGAGCAAGGAUGUGAAUAUUGGUUUGGUUCUGUGAGACAGUGAUACCAUUUCGACAGUGCUCAGAGCUCAUGUCAUCUGCCCCUUCUACAGAUAAGGGACAUGAGGUCCAGACUCGUCCAAAGCCAGGCAGCUGGUUAUUGGCACAGUGGGUAUUAAGCCUUUGGAUGACUAAUUUUGAGUUCUUUCCAUAACAUCACGCACCUCACAUAUAACCACUUUCUUGCAGGACUGCAUAAUUAUUCAACAGUUUUGGCAUAAAAUCUGAUGGCACAGUUCCCUUUGCUAUUACCCUAACCUUUCGCUUUCCCCUUUAAGGACAGCCAAGUCAGCUAUGCAGUUCACAAAAGUGGACCUGGUUAUAUGUCAUCCAACAGCAUAUGGUCCCUGCAAGCCUGUUCGGAAGCCAAUAUUCUAUAACCUACAGGAAUCCACUGAAUCCGAUGUCUUUGGAAGCAAUACAUUUUCCAGGGUUCCAAUGGACUACGGAAUAAGGCAACACAGGGCCUGUUUUCCCGCAGUGUCCUCUGCUCCAAGGAACUUUCUUAAGGAAGCUGGACGUGUCAAUGAGGUACCUCCCGG
rnacentral:lncRNA from 1 species